UCGAACGGGAUCCGGUAGGCAGCAAUGUCGGCCGGUGAGAGUGGCGGAAGGGCGAGGAACACGUGGGCAACCUGCUUGAGGUGGGGAAAACCGCUGGAAACGGCGGCUAAUACCGAAUGUAGCGCCCGCUCGCAUGAGCGGAGCGCCAAAGGGGGCGAAAGCUCCCCCUCUUCGAGGGGCCCGCGCACCAUCAGCUUGUUGGCGGGUAACGGCCCACCAAGGCUCACGGUUAGCUGGUCUGAGAGGAUGGCCAGCCGCACUGGGACUGAGAUACUGCCCAGACUCCUACGGGAGGCUGCAGUCGAGGAUCAUUUGCAAUGGGCGAAAGCCUGACAAUGCGACGCUGCGUGGAGGAUGAAGGCCCUCGGGUUGUAAACUCCUGUCAUGGGGGAAAAGGAAACCCUGCCCAAUACGCAGGGAAUUUGAUGGUACCCCAAGAGGAAGCGACGGCUAACUCUGUGCCAGCCGCAGC
rnacentral:rRNA from 1 species